GAAGCUGCGGCAGCGACGCUGAUGCGUUGUUGGGUAGGGGAGCGUUCUGUAAGCCUGUGAAGGUGGCCUGUGAGGGUUGCUGGAGGUAUCAGAAGUGCGAAUGCUGACAUAAGUAACGAUAAAGCGGGUGAAAAGCCCGCUCGCCGGAAGACCAAGGGUUCCUGUCCAACGUUAAUCGGGGCAGGGUGAGUCGACCCCUAAGGCGAGGCCGAAAGGCGUAGUCGAUGGGAAACGGGUUAAUAUUCCCGUACUUGGUGUUACUGCGAAGGGGGGACGGAGAAGGCUAUGUUGGCCGGGCGACGGUUGUCCCGGUUUAAGCGUGUAGGUGUGUGUUCCAGGUAAAUCCGGUUCACUUUAACACUGAGGCGUGACGACGAGGCACUACGGUGCUGAAGCAACAAAUGCCCUGCUUCCAGGAAAAGCCUCUAAGCAUCAGGUAACAUCAAAUCGUACCCCAAACCGACACAGGUGGUCAGGUAGAGAAUACCAAGGCGCUUGAGAGAACUCGGGUGAAGGAACUAGGCAAAAUGGUGCCGUAACUUCGGGAGAAGGCACGCUGACACGUAGGUGAAGUGAUUUACUCAUGGAGCUGAAGUCAGUCGAAGAUACCAGCUGGCUGCAACUGUUUAUUAAAAACACAGCACUGUGCAAACACGAAAGUGGACGUAUACGGUGUGACGCCUGCCCGGUGCCGGAAGGUUAAUUGAUGGGGUCAGCGCAAGCGAAGCUCCUGAUCGAAGCCCCGGUAAACGGCGGCCGUAACUAUAACGGUCCUAAGGUAGCGAAAUUCCUUGUCGGGUAAGUUCCGACCUGCACGAAUGGCGUAAUGAUGGCCAGGCUGUCUCCACCCGAGACUCAGUGAAAUUGAACUCGCUGUGAAGAUGCAGUGUACCCGCGGCAAGACGGAAAGACCCCGUGAACCUUUACUAUAGCUUGACACUGAACAUUGAGCCUUGAUGUGUAG
rnacentral:rRNA from 1 species